AGGCGUAAAAUUGACCCGUUAUUGAGAACCUCCACGAUCUGUCAAAUAACGGGUCAUUUUUUCGGGUCAAUAUUACCCUUUAUUUCAAAAAGCUCGAGUCCGCUUCAAAGGGGUAGAUUUAGAUGUUACAUUGAAAGCGUUAUUAUUUGUCCGGUCAUUGAUAUGGAAAAUUAACAGCACAGUUCCGCACGAGGACGGUAAAAAUUUGUAAGCCGAUGACUAAAACCGGAAACAUGGAUGUUGGAUGGUAAAUACAAAAUGGUGAAUAAAUUUAUUUAUUGUAAUUUUUGAAUAAACAAAAUGGAACAUGA